GAUCAGGGAACCGUUGAUAACAAAUAUAAUAUGGAGGAACUUGCUAAUUCAGGCAGCUUAUCAAGUGAUCGUCCUGCUCGUUCUGAACUUCCAAGGGGAAAAUAUCCUCAACUUGAGAAAUGAUAAUCCCGGUCAUACCAAAAAAAUGAAGAACACGCUCAUAUUCAAUGCUUUUGUUAUUUGUCAGAUAUUCAAUGAGGUGAAUGCAAGGAAGCCAGAUGAGAUAAAUGUGUUGGAGUGA